UGGGCUAGGAUUAACCAGUUGGUAAUGGUUUCUCCAUGUUUCAUAAAGCCGCCAAAACCACCAUUUCAACCCUUCCCAGUCAGCACUUUCAUCCAGUCCACCAUUGCCAUUUCCGGUGUUACCACCUCCACCUCUACUAUCACUAUUCCCUUGACCAUCACCGCUACUAUUUUUGACAAUGGGUACACGAAAAAUCAACCAAAAAGAACAAUGAUCAGAAUUUUAAGUUUUCAAACAAAUACUGUAACUAGUAGUACCUUUAGCUAGCAUACCGUAGUUAUAUUUGAAUUUGUUCUAAAAUUUAAUUAAAUUUUAUAAUUUGUCUAAAUAUAUCUCUAAUUUUGUUACUUGUUAAGUAAGAAAGGAUUUAAAGUUAAAAUAUAUAUUGACUUAUAAGUUAUAUUAAGUUGUGACUUAUAAAUAAAGUGUUCGGCAUCAAUUUCACUUAUAAGUAAGAAAUUAAGUUCAAAUAAGUUAUAAAUGUAUUCGGCUCAUAACGACUUAUAAGUUAAAAUUAACAGUAAAGAUUACUAAAAAGGACAUUAAUAAAAAAAGGAGUACAAUAAAAAAAGGAGUACAAUAGAAGAGGGAUAAAAUAGACAUUACAUUUGGUCAAACUAACUUAUUUUAAAAUAAGUUACUAAGUAUAUCUUAUUUUUUAGACUUAAAAACCAAAUUUUAAGUAGAAAAUUGACUAAUAGUGGCAAAUGACUUGGGACUUAAAAGUUGUAAUUUCAACAACGAUUACAAGAGUGUCAUUGUACCAACAGAGUACUACUUCAUUAAAGAUCAAAGUUUGAGAAUUUACCCCAUAAUCGAAUCGGAUUCACCAUUAAUUCUCUCAUAAUCUUCAAACUGGCUGAUAUUAUAGUUGAAACUUGAGGCUGCUCCACAUUUUGCAUCAACAUAACUAAACUCAACACAGCAUUUACAGCUUGUGAACUAGUGCUUUUCCUGGUUUCAAAAAUAUUGAUCUUUGGUGCUUUAAAAUUUUCAGAAUCGAGGGUCUUGAAAAAAAAAUAUUUUUCUGCAAGAACCCAUAAUUCUCUGUUCUUGGAUUAUGGCCUCCUCCAACGCAGACAGGAAAGAGUUUGGAGGUAGGGGCCGAAGCCAUGAAAAGUACAAGUGAGUUAAAAAAAACUGAUAAACCAAAUUAGUCGAGAGAGCUCUCAAAUUCAUUGGGCAGAGAAAUAUCGGUGGGAGUUAC
rnacentral:lncRNA from 1 species